UGGGGAAUAUUGCACAAUGGGCGAAAGCCUGAUGCAGCAACGCCGCGUGAGUGAUGAAGGCCUUCGGGUUGUAAAGCUCUGUCUUCUGAGACGAUAAUGACGGUACCAGAGGAGGAAGCCACGGCUAACUACGUGCCAGCAGCCGCGGUAAUACGUAGGUGGCAAGCGUUGUCCGGAUUUACUGGGCGUAAAGGAUGCGUAGGCGGAUACUUAAGUCAGAUGUGAAAAUCCCGGGCUUAACUUGGGAACUGCAUUUGAAACUGGGUAUCUAGAGUGCGGGAGAGGAAAGUGGAAUUCCUAGUGUAGCGGUGAGAUGCGUAGAGAUUAGGAAGAACACCAGUGGCGAAGGCGACUUUCUGGACCGUAACUGACGCUGAGGCAUGAAAGCGUGGGGAGCAAACA
rnacentral:rRNA from 1 species